UGGGGAGUCUUCCGCAAUGGGCGCAAGCCUGACGGAGCAACGCCGCGUGAGUGAAGAAGGUCUUCGGAUCGUAAAGCUCUGUUGAUGGGGACGAACGUGCCUAAUGCGAAUAGUAUUAGGUAAUGACGGUACCCAUCGAGGAAGCCACGGCUAACUACGUGCCAGCAGCCGCGGUAAUACGUAGGUGGCGAGCGUUGUCCGGAAUCAUUGGGCGUAAAGGGAGCGCAGGCGGGCAUGUAAGUCUUUCUUAAAAGUGCGGGGCUCAACCCCGUGAUGGGAAAGAAACUAUGUGUCUUGAGUACAGGAGAGGAAAGCGGAAUUCCCAGUGUAGCGGUGAAAUGCGUAGAUAUUGGGAGGAACACCAGUGGCGAAGGCGGCUUUCUGGACUGCAACUGACGCUGAGGCUCGAAAGCCAGGGGAGCGAACGGGA
rnacentral:rRNA from 1 species